CUGAGUGAUUAUUCACAUGGCAUUUACAGCUCAAGUAAUUGGCUUAACAACUUCCCUGCCCCGAACUGAGUGGCCAUGAGUAAAGAUGGCAGAUUUCUAAUUGCAUACAUCCUUCCCGGUGCCAGCAGAGCACCUGCCAGACAGCUAAACGGAUGCAACCUCCAGUUUCUUUUGUCAAGAUGAAAUAUCAUUAAGAGAUGCUCAACGAGCUGAUAGAACUACGAGAUCAGUGUUUCCAGAUGGGUGAAAAUGGACAGGGCACCUUGGCGGUUAACAGACUAAAUUGGAAGGACUGUAAGAGGGACUUGCCUGGAAUUCAGAAAGCGGCGCGGAUCAGACGAGACCUUCAGAUGGAGCCCAUUGUUGGCAGGGAGGCCAAUGCAGAUUGUUAGUGGAGGCCGAAUCUCCAUCCCAGCUUCCCUGGAUAACUCCCUCUCUCUCCUAAUCUAUGCUAAUGAAGCAGCAAUCAAAGCCUGAAAUGUCCAAGUGGCGUGCUUCCUACCUCAGUCAUGUUCAAAGCUGUAUUAAAGAUGACAGAAACAAGUCUAGAGCGUUCUUUCACUGUGUUAUGUAGCCCACAGGGGCCUUGUGUUUAACUUCUCAAACAACCAUGUUCGGCUUGUGACAUGAAUGAUGCAGACUCUCG